AACCAUAGAAACCUGCGGAGUACCUGCGGAGGGAUCAUUAUAGUAUAUGGAAUCUCCAUUCUAUAAACCCACUCUGCGUAUCUUGUAACUGUUGCUUCCAUGGGACUUGGUUCCGCCACACCGGCUUCACGGCUGGUGAGCGCCCAUGGAAGGAGAAACAAAACUCUUCUUUGAAAUGCAGUCAGUCUGAACAAGUUUUUAUAAACGUUAAAACUUUUAACAAUGGAUCUCAGAUCGGAA
rnacentral:misc_RNA from 1 species